rnacentral:rRNA from 1 species
UAAUACGGAGGGGGCCAGCGUUGUUCGGAAUCAUUGGGCGUAAAGGGCGCGUAGGCGGCCACGCAAGUCGGAUGUGAAAUCCCUCGGCUCAACCGAGGAACUGCACCCGAAACUGCGAGGCUCGAGUCCUGGAGAGGGUAGUGGAAUUCCCAGUGUAGCGGUGAAAUGCGUAGAUACUGGGAGGAACACCGGUGGCGAAGGCGGCUACCUGGACAGGUACUGACGCUGAGGCGCGAAAGCCAGGGGAGCAAACAGGAUUAGAUACCCUGGUAGUCCUGGCUGUAAACGAUGGGCACUUGGUGUUGCGGGUAUCGACCCCUGCAGUGCCGAAGCUAACGCAUUAAGUGCCCCGCCUGGGGAGUACGGUCGCAAGGCUG